AAAACCCCUAAUUUCAAAAAGCUCUCAACUCUUCCCUCUAACACCAUGCAACCGCUACCCAUUAACCCAAGCCGACAACACCCCGACCACCGUCCAUCGAUGGCCUCCUCACUCCGAACGGCCUUGAUAAUCAUCGUGAGAGGCCUAACGGCCCCGAAUAGACCGAAAGCUCCCCUUUUCUCUAUUUCAUUCGAACCAAACCCCCAUGGACUCCAAAUCAACGUCCCGACCGUCGAACUUCAACGGUGGUUCACUCCCCGACCGCCACCUUAGGUAGCCGAGGAGACCAAACAAUGCCCAAAACUCCCUCCUUUUCACUUCGAACUUUCAAAACAGAACCCUAUAGGAACCUAAACCGAAUCCCUAAUCGUCUCUCAUAUCUCCAACUUCCUCCCCGAUGAUUUGACUCUGGCGAAACCUUCUAAGACCAAAGAUGAGGAGGUCUAGUUGGCUUCUGUGUUUUUGCUGGCGAGGAGAUGGGAGGCUUGCUUGGGACCACUCGUUGCAUGAGUUGGUUGUUGGUGUGGAGCCUGUUGGCUUUGGGGGAUUCAGUGGUCGUGGCUAAUGUGGAGCAAAGGGGCCAGUUAGGAUGUGAAGAGUUUGGACUGGCGGCUGAAACUCCUUCACAUGUUAGGGUUGUUUGAUUUUCGAAAACCCUAAAAUGUUGGGUUACGAGUUGGGCUUCGAUUUGGUUAAUUGUAUUGGGAUAAUGAAUAAAUGUUUGGAUUACAUUAGUUCUGGGUUAUAUAAUUGGGUUUGGAGUAAAAA